GACGUAGGGGGCGAGCGUUGUCCGGAUUCAUUGGGCGUAAAGAGCGCGUAGGCGGCCCGGAAAGUGGGGUGUGAAAACCCGAGGCUCAACCUCGGGCGUGCAUUCCAAACUCCCGGGCUCGAGGCAGGUAGAGGAGAGCGGAAUUCCUGGUGUAGCGGUGAAAUGCGCAGAUAUCAGGAGGAACACCGGUGGCGAAGGCGGGACUCUGGGCCGAUACUGACGCUGAGGAGCGAAAGCGUGGGGAGCGAACAGG
rnacentral:rRNA from 1 species